UGGGGGAUAUUGCACAAUGGAGGAAACUCUGAUGCAGCGACGCCGCGUGAAGGAAGACGUGCUUCGGCAUGUAAACUUCUAUCAGCAGGGAAGAAGAUGACGGUACCUGACUAAGAAGCCCCGGCUAACUACGUGCCAGCAGCCGCGGUAAUACGUAGGGGGCAAGCGUUAUCCGGAUUUACUGGGUGUAAAGGGAGCGUAGACGGAACGGCAAGUUUGAAGUGAAAUACCCGGGCUUAACCCGGGAACUGCUUUGAAAACUGUCGAUCUAGAGUGUCGGAGAGGUAAGUGGAAUUCCUGGUGUAGUAGUGAAAUGCGUAGAUAUCAGGAAGAACACCGGAGGCGAAGGCGGCUUACUGGACGAUAACUGACGUUGAGGCUCGAAAGCGUGGGGAGCAAACAGGAUUAGAUACCCUGGUAGU
rnacentral:rRNA from 1 species